UUACGGAGUACACCAGUACAAUUUGUACAAACGCCCGAAAAUAAAACACGUCGUUUCUGUAUUUUCUUUCUCCUCUCAACAAUUCAACCUUUUCUUUGCGUUCCUCCACUAUUCUGCUAUUCAGCUUCAUCCUCAUUCUUUUGCUGAAUUCUAAGGGUUUUGAUCAUGGGAGGAGUUGCAUCCUCUAGUAAUGGUGUGCCAGUAGAACAAAAGAACCCGGAAACGGUUUCGAAAGCUUCCGAGCAGGAUCAAAAGCCGAAAAAGAAGAUAUGUUGUGCUUGCCCUGAAACUAAGAAGCUGAGAGAUGAAUGUAUAGUACAGAAUGGUGAAGAUGCGUGUACUAAGUGGAUCGAGGCGCAUAAGCAAUGCCUUCGUGCUGAGGGAUUUAAUGUUUGAUGAAGAAUUGGAAUUGGAUGUUUUGAGUUCUUGAAAUUUUGCCAAAUAGGUAGUUCUUUUUCGGGUUAUAUACACUUGUUGAUCACACUUAUGUGAAUAAAAGGUAUCAAAACUAUCUGAGAUGAGUAUGUUGUCUUGCAGUUAGAUAUCGUAUUUUUGUGAUAGAAUCAUUGAAAUUGAUCAUAUAGACAUGUCAUGAUAUUGUAUGCUACAAUUUGCAUUCUUGUUGAUAAAUUUAACUGGAUGGUCUGACUCUUCUAUCUGAUGAUUGCUGACUUUGAUAUGAAGCCAAGCCCAUCUUUUGCA